UACGAGGGGGGCGAGCGUUGUUCGGAAUUAUUGGGCGUAAAGGGUGCGUAGGCGGUUCCGCAAGUCCUGUGUGAAAUCUUCGGGCUCAACUCGAAGUCUGCACGGGAAACUGCGGGGCUUGAGUGUGGGAGAGGUGAGUGGAAUUCCCGGUGUAGCGGUGAAAUGCGCAGAUAUCGGGAGGAACACCAAUGGCGAAGGCAGCUCGCUGGGACGUGACUGACGCUGAGACGCGAAAGCGUGGGGAGCAAACAGG
rnacentral:rRNA from 1 species